rnacentral:rRNA from 1 species
AUACGUAGGUGGCGAGCGUUGUCCGGAUUUACUGGGCGUAAAGCGUGCGUAGGCGGUUAGGUCAGCUGGGUGUGAAAGGUUGGGGCUUAACUCCAACAUUGCACCCAAUACUGCCUGGCUUGAGUACCGGAGAGGAGAACGGAAUUCCACGUGUAGCGGUGAAAUGCGUUGAGAUGUGGAGGAACACCAGUGGCGAAAGCGGUUCUCUGGACGGUGACUGACGCUCAUGCACGAAAGCCAGGGGAGCGAACGGGAUUAGAUACCCCGGUAGUCCUGGCCAUAAACGAUGGGCACUAGGUGUGGGGAGCAUCGACCCUCCCCGUGCCGCAGUUAACGCAUUAAGUGCCCCGCCUGGGGAGUACGGCCGCAAGGUUGAA